GGGGUUGUAGUUCAGUGGUAGAGUAUGUACUUGUCAUUUGUGAGACCCUGGAUUCAAUCUCCAGCAACUCCU
rnacentral:tRNA from 1 species